UACGAAGGGGGCUAGCGUUGCUCGGAAUCACUGGGCGUAAAGGGCGCGUAGGCGGCCGAUCAAGUCGGGGGUGAAAGCCUGUGGCUCAACCACAGAAUUGCCUCGAUACUGGUUGGCUUGAGACCGGAAGAGGUAAGUGGAACUGCGAGUGUAGAGGUGAAAUUCGUAGAUAUUCGCAAGAACACCAGUGGCGAAGGCGGCUUACUGGUCCGGUUCUGACGCUGAGGCGCGAAAGCGUGGGGAGCAAACAGG
rnacentral:rRNA from 1 species